rnacentral:rRNA from 1 species
UACGGGGGGGAGCAAGCGUUGUUCGGAUUUACUGGGCGUAAAGGGCGCGUAGGCGGUCAGCACAAGUCAGUUGUGAAAUCUCCGGGCUUAACUCGGAAAGGUCAACUGAUACUGUGCGACUAGAGUGCGGAAGGGGCAACUGGAAUUCUCGGUGUAGCGGUGAAAUGCGUAGAUAUCGAGAGGAACACCUGCGGCGAAGGCGGCCCCCUGGUUGGAUACUGACGCUGAGACGCGAAAGCGUGGGGAGCAAACAGG